GGGGUUAUCACAAGGCCUCUGUACUAACACUGGGCUGACAUCUGGGGCUGGGUCAUGACCAGUACCAUUCUUUUAAUAUAGGGUAGUCUCUGUUGCUGAGCUGCCAAUGCCAGAAUACUUAACUUUUUUAUUUUGAAGCUGAAAAACUGAGAAUCGUACAUAAAACCCUGCCCUAAGUGGAGUCUUACUGAAGUGUGUAGUUUUAUCACCACUGUUACAGAGGAAACAGGCUAAAGUCACACAGCUAACAAGACCGGGGGUGGGGUGGGGGAGGGGGAGAUGCCAUACGACAAAUUCUAAACCAGGACAUGUGCCCCAGGCCAUGAGCUCCCAGCCACCACCCAGGGUAGCUUAUGGCAUUUGGGUACAUCCAAGGCAGGCCACCUGGAAAACCACAUGUUUUCAUGCACCACAAUCUGUUGUUUCCUGGGGUGGAGAACAGGAGACAGUGCUGUGGAAGAAAACAAUCCAUGUCACAUAAAUCACCUUCAAUAUUCUGGAAGCAGCCAGGGACCUAUCCAGCUAGGUUCCCAAUCUCCCUGCAUCCUUGAUCACCACACCACCAGCAAGAGCCAGUGGGACACAGCCAGGAGAUCAAUCAGAAUUUGGGCUGUACACAAUACUUCAGAUGGAUUCAAACAGCAUAAUGAACUCCCUUAGCUGCUCUAUUCCUAGCAAUCUAUACUGUAGCCAUUACCAUUCUUUUCAAGAACGAAGGUAAGAUUAACAAAUAUGGACAACCAAAGUAUAAGGGCCAACAUUUGUACAGCAGGAGUCCAACAAAUAAGAAAAUAUCUGGAGAGAUAAAUGUAUGAAAAUCCCCCUAAAAUUGAAGAAAAAAUUAUUAGAGUGAAAGGGUCCAUAAAGUGCUCCCCCAAAAUAAGAUUAGGGGAUCCUCAUUUGGAUGUAUCAUGGUGAUAUUUCAAGACAAGGAUAAAGAUAAAAGAAAAGUCAGACAAACUACACAGAAAGAAAAAUCAGUCAUCACGGUUCUUUUGCAACUUCUAUGCAAAAAAGAAUUGAGAAUAAUCUCAAUGUUUC
rnacentral:lncRNA from 1 species